CUUUAUACACACACACACACACACACAUAUAUAUAUUUGUAUAUAUACAUAUAUAAUUAUAUAAUAUAUACAUAUAAUACAUAUAAUUAUUAUAUUAAUAUAUGGUUAUAUUAUAUAUUUGAUGUCAUAAAAAUAAAUUUAAAUCAAUAAUCAAUUACUUCUCAUUCAUCUGUAUACUGGCUGAGCCAGUCUUUGCUCCAGGCUUUAGGUCAAGUUCAAAUUUGUUCCUUUUACUUCUAAUUCCAGGUUCCAAGAUGAAGAUUCACUAGCUUCACUAGCUAGCUUAUCAUAAUCUUCUCAGAUGGAUGGAAGGAGACCAAGAAAUCAAGCUGAAAUACAUAGCAUAUGUAAUAAUCACCAUACCUAAAAGUCAAAGGUACUGGAUUCCUUUAAGAAUCAAGCCAAUAAGAAGCUUAUUUGGGAAAAUAUCACCCAUUGCCUUAAAAAAUAGUAAGCCAAGAGGUAAGAGUUCUAGUUUUAUGCUUUUUUUCUUAAUUAACAUAUUUUACUAAAGGAAAACAUUGAAUUCAGAGUUUAUAUAGCUAAUUUUUUUAAAAAGAUUUUAUUCAUUUAUUCAUGAGGAAACACAGAGAGAGAGAGGCAGAGACACAGGCAGAGGGAGAAGCAGGCUCCAUGCAGGGAGCCUGACGUGGGACUCGAUCCCAGGACUUGACUGAUCAUGCCCUGGGCCGAAGGCAGGCACCAAACCGCUGAGCCACCCAGGGAUCCCCCUAUAUAGCUAAAUCUAAGGAAGAUGAAAUAUCUCAGAAUAAAUUUUUAUGCUUUUGUUUGAAUGCUUACA
rnacentral:lncRNA from 12 species